AUGGCCAUCUGGGAAGUGUAAUUCUGAACUGUCCAGCCCCUGAAGUGGGAGAAGACACAGGAGGAGAAGGUCUCCUCCCCACAUAAAUGUAAAUUUCAAUGGAGUAAGGAUCUCAUCAUCAUGUCCACCCCUCUGUCCUCACCUACUGGACAGUGCCUGGUCUGUGGUGGAAGGUGCCAGAAAAUUAAAUCUACUCUGAAUGACCCAGGGCAUCAUCACGAACGUUGAUUUUUAUACUGGACUGUCAUUUAAUCCU